rnacentral:rRNA from 1 species
GGCGACGAUGUUCUCGAACAGACCUCACGACCGAUCUGCGACGCUAUAGCUUUGGGUACUUUCAGGACCCGUCUUGAAACACGGACCAAGGAGUCUAGCAUGUGCGCGAGUCAUUGGGAAUUACUAAACCUAAAGGCGUAAUGAAAGUGAAGGUCUUCCUUGCGGAGACCGAGGGAAGACGGGCGGUUCGCCGUUAAAAGCGGCCGUUCAGCAUUCCCGGGGCGUCUCGUUCUCAUCGCGAGAAGAGGCGCACCAAGAGUGUACACGCUGGGACCCGAAAGAUGGUGAACUAUGCCUGGUCAGGACGAAGUCAGGGGAAACCCUGAUGGAGGUCCGUAGCGAUUCU